UAAACCAAAUUUGUGCUACUCUCACAGAC
rnacentral:piRNA from 1 species